rnacentral:rRNA from 1 species
AUUGAACGCUAGCGGGAUGCUUUACACAUGCACGUCGAACGGCAGCGCGGACUUCGGUCUGGCGGCGAGUGGCGAACGGGUGAGUAAUGUAUCGGAACGUGCCCAGUAGCGGGGGAUAACUACGCGAAAGCGUAGCUAAUACCGCAUACGCCCUACGGGGGAAAGCAGGGGAUCGUAAGACCUUGCACUAUUGGAGCGGCCGAUAUCGGAUUAGCUAGUUGGUGAGGUAACGGCUCACCAAGGCGACGAUCCGUAGCUGGUUUGAGGGGACGACCAGCCACACUGGGACUGAGACACGGCCCAGACUCCUACGGGAGGCAGCAGUGGGGAAUUUUGGACAAUGGGGGCAACCCUGAUCCAGCCAUCCCGCGUGUGCGAUGAAGGCCUUCGGGUUGUAAAGCACUUUUGGCAGGAAAGAAACGUCGCGGGCUAAUACCCCGUGGAACUGACGGUACCUGCAGAAUAAGCACCGGCUAACUACGUG